AAUCUUGGCCGAAGUUUUCCUUUCUUCCCAAAACGGAGAACUCCCUUCAUCGGUGCCACUUUUAAGAAAACUUUGUCACCAACAUUAAAUGCCAAGUCUUUCCUCCUUUUAUCGGCAUAACUCUUUUGUCGGUCCUGGGCUGCCUUGAUUCUAGCUCUUAUUUUAUCAACCGCUCGACUAGUUUCUUCAAUUAUUUCGGGUCCCAGAACUCUUCGUUCACCUACUU
rnacentral:lncRNA from 1 species